UCUCACUCGAACACCCUUCAGCUGCAGGAGAGGAUAGAACCUGUGACCUCUUCACUUUGGGACAAACUAUCUAACCACAUCGAAGAAAGAGAACAACAGGACAUAGAUGGACCCGCAGGCCUGGCUGUCUCCUCUGUUAUCUGAGCGACAGUACAGCCUGGAAGGAACCAUGGGAAAGGGCCAGGAAAAAGCUCAGUGCAAACUUGACCUCUACAUCAUAAGCCUAUUCAUGUCAAUAUGACACGUAGUGCUGAUGGGAACAGAUCCACUUUGCCAUUGACAGGAACAAGGGAUUUUGCCAUAAUGAACACUCCAGUCCUUCCAGCUCUGCAGUCAAGCCAAUGAGUCAGAGGAAGAGUGUGACCAUUAGACCCACCAUCGGCAGCAGCAGUGGCAGAGAGGGUUUCUGAACGCAGCCCCUUGCCUAUUAUUAUGGACCUCCAUUAAAAUGCUUUUGUUUUC